GAGAGUGUCGUAACCUCACUCGACCAUCCGUAACGUCCAUAAGAGUGCCGUAACGACCGUAACGUCUGUAAGGGUGCAGUAAUGACCGUAACCCGCUGUAACGUCCGUAAGAGUGCCGUAACCUUAUUCGAACAUCCGUAACGUCCGUAACAUCGCCGUAACGACCGUAACAAGCCGUAAGGUCCAUAAGGGUGCCGUGACGACCGUAACACGCCGUAACGUCCGUAAGAGUGCCGUAACCUCACUCGACAUCCGUAACGUCUGUCGAACGAUUGGUCCGAUCUGGACGAAAAAUAUGCGCGUAGAGGGCGCAACGAGAGCUCACCAAUGACCCCGGACCCGUUCUUCUUGGUGCUAUAGUUUCAGUAACCCGCUAUAGGAAUGCAUUUCCUUGGAAUUUCAAUUUGUGAUUGUGAUACAUACAGAGAGAAAGAGAAAGGGUAAACGAAUCGAGAAUUUGAAUAAAACAAAGGACGAUAUCGAGAUUAAAUUGAAAAGAAACUUUGUUAGCUCUUAACAAAAAGGCACUCGAUAAGGAAGCAUCAGCCUUCCAAAGUACAAUUAUAUCAAAGACCCAUUCAAAUGAAAGACGAUUACAUAGGUAUCCGACUAUGAUACCUUAUACUUCUUAUUAUUCGUAUAAAAGAAAAGAAGAAGAAUAAAAACAGUUAAGAAGAUUAAGAAAGAAAUUUCAUGUUUAUUUCCCAAUAUCUUCAAUUAUGAUUGAUUUAUAAAGACAAUAAGAAUAAUAAUAACAAUAAUAACAACAACAAUAAUAUGAAGAAGAAGAAGAAGAAUAAAGUAUCUUGGUAUAUUCAAUUUUGCUUUCUUGUUCUUAUGUAGUAUAUGUAUCUAGUACAAUGUAAAUUUUAAUGUGGGAUUUCAUUUAAACGUGUCAUUUAAUGCGUAUUAUGAUUAAUAUGCAUUAUUCAUACACAUAUCAAUGUAUGUGUAUUUAAAUGAAUAUAGAAUUUAUACCUCGUUGACAAAUUAAAUUUACAAUAUUGAAAUAAGGGUGUCACGAUCAGGUACACGCAUCACGUUCGAUCGUCGACGAUCUUUCUAUAUAUAAAAUAUAUCGAUACCAAACGAUAUUACAUUUGUUGAAAGGCAUAUACGUAUUACGUACAUACGCGUACACGUGCAUACAGAAAAAUUAAGAAAAAAAUAGCAAAAUAGAGCGAGGAAGAGAGAGAGAGAGAGAGAGAGAGAUGAAAGUUCAUUGUUUACGAGGAAGGACGUCUGUCCUAACAAACGGAGUUUUCGAUGAGGUCUCGUAUUUUUCUAUUCCUGUUGCUUUCUUUAAUUUUUUAUUUUGAUUAAUUAACUAAUUAAAUUAUAAAAAUUUUAAUAUAUAUAUAUCUAUAUAUAUAUAUAUAUAAUAUUAUUACACUGAAAGAAAAAGAUAAUGUUUAUACCAUUUACUAGCUGACGUAGACAAAGCAAAUCUUAUUACAAUGUUUAUAUGUUUCUAUAUAAGCUGAAAUAUCUAAAUACAACUUAUGUUAUUUACUUUCUAUCGAAUAUCGUAUGAGAUCAGUCUUUCGGCAACCACCGAGGUGGAAUGUUGGAAGAUCCCAUAUAAACAGACGUUUGUAAAUAGAUACAUAUGUACAUAACUAGAUACAUAAUAUACAUACCCACGCACACAUACACACAGUAUAUAGUAGUCUUUCCUUGGGUAUUGCUUGAGAUUUAUUAUAUUGUAUAGACAGUAACGAGCAACCUUUCUUCUGCAAUGAGCCAAAAUUAAAUAUCUGAUUUUGUUAUUGAUAGAAUUCAUUAUGAACUAAAAAUGUUUAAAUUGAUUAACAAAGAAAUUAAUACUUGAUAGAAAAAGAAAAAAUUACACAUUAUUGAAGGGUAUUUGUUAUUUUCGGC